rnacentral:rRNA from 1 species
UACGGAGGGGGCUAGCGUUGUUCGGAAUUACUGGGCGUAAAGCGCACGUAGGCGGAUUGUUAAGUCGGGGGUGAAAUCCUGGAGCUCAACUCCAGAACUGCCUUCGAUACUGGCAAUCUCGAGUCCGGAAGAGGUAAGUGGAACUGCGAGUGUAGAGGUGAAAUUCGUAGAUAUUCGGAAGAACACCAGUGGCGAAGGCGGCUCACUGGACUGGUAUUGACGCUGAGGUGCGAAAGCGUGGGGAGCAAACAGG